CCUACGGGAGGCAGCAGUGAGGAAUAUUGGUCAAUGGACGAGAGUCUGAACCAGCCAAGUAGCGUGAAGGAUGACUGCCCUAUGGGUUGUAAACUUCUUUUAUAUGGGAAUAAAGUGUUCCACGUGUGGGAUUUUGUAUGUACCUUAUGAAUAAGGAUCGGCUAACUCCGUGCCAGCAGCCGCGGUAAUACGGAGGAUCCGAGCGUUAUCCGGAUUUAUUGGGUUUAAAGGGAGCGUAGGUGGGUUGUUAAGUCAGUUGUGAAAGUUUGCGGCUCAACCGUAAAAUUGCAGUUGAUACUGGCAGUCUUGAGUACAGUAGAGGUGGGCGGAAUUCGUGGUGUAGCGGUGAAAUGCUUAGAUAUCACGAAGAACUCCGAUUGCGAAGGCAGUUCACUAGACUGCAACUGACACUGAGGCUCGAAAGUGUGGGUAUCAAACAGGAUUAGAUACCCGAGUAGUC
rnacentral:rRNA from 1 species